GCCUCUGUAGUAUAGCUUGGACAGUAUACGAGCUUGCGGAGCUUGGGACCUGGGUUCAAAUCCCAGCAGAGGCG
rnacentral:tRNA from 1 species